rnacentral:rRNA from 1 species
AGUUUGAUCAUGGCUCAGGAUGAACGCUAGCGGCAUAGAUAAGGCAUGCAAGUCGAGCGGUGAACUCCGCCUCCGGGCGGAGGGAUCAGCGGCGGACGGGUGAGUAACACGUGAGUAACCUUCCCCCGACACCGGGAUAGCCCUGGGAAACCGGGGUUAAUACCGGAUACGCUUCCCGGCGCUUCUGCGGCGUGAAGUAAAGAUUGAGUUCGGUUGGGGAUGGGCUCGCGUCCCAUUAGCCAGUCGGUGAGGUAACGGCUCACCGAAGCGAAGAUGGGUAGCUGGCCUGAGAGGGUGGUCAGCCACACUGGGACUGAGACACGGCCCAGACUCCUGCGGGAGGCAGCAGUCGAGAAUAUUCGGCAAUGGGCGCAAGCCUGACCGAGUGAUGCCGCGUGGGUGAAGAAGGCCUUCGGGUCGUAAACCCCUGUCACCCGGGACGAAAUUUGACGGUACCGGGAGAGGAAGCCCCGGCUAACUACGUGCCAGCAGCCGCGGUAAUACGUAGGGGGCGAGCGUUAUCCGGAAUCACUGGGCGUAAAGGGUCCGCAGGGGGUCUGCCAAGUCUGAUGUGAAAUUCCGCGGCUCAACCCGCGGAAGUGCAUUGGAAACUGGCGGACUAGAGUGCACGAGAGGAAAGCGGAAUUCCCGGUGUAGCGGUGGAAUGCGUAGAUAUCGGGAAGAACACCAGCGGCGAAGGCGGCUUUCUGGCGUGCCACUGACCCUCAGGGACGAAAGCGUGGGUAGCGAACGGGAUUAGAUACCCCGGUAGUCCACGCCGUAAACGUUGUGCGCUCGAUAUGGGCGGCCAUCCAGUGCUGUCCGUGUCCAAGCUAACGCGUUAAGCGCACCGCCUGGGGACUACGGCCGCAAGGCUAAAACUCAAAGGAAUUGACGGGGGCCCGCACAACCGGUGGAGCAUGUGGCUUAAUUCGAGGCUACGCGAAGAACCUUACCCGGACUUGAAAUAUACGGGCUUUCGCGUGAAAGCGUGAUUUCCCUUCGGGGACCCGUAUACAGGUACUGCAUGGCUGUCGUCAGCUCGUGCCGUGAGGUGUUCGGUUAAGUCCGGCAACGAGCGCAACCCCUGCCGUCAGUUGCCAUCAGGUAAUGCUGGGGACUCUGACGGGACUGCCCGUGUUAAGCGGGAGGAAGGUGGGGACGACGUCAAGUCAGCAUGGUCCUUACGUUCGGGGCUGCACACGUGCUACAAUGACCGGCACAGAGGGUCGCGAAGCCGCGAGGCGGAGCGAAUCCCCAAAACCGGCCUCAGUUCGGAUUGGAGUCUGCAACUCGACUCCAUGAAGCUGGAAUCGGUAGUAAAGGCGUAUCAGCCACGUCGCCUUGAAUACGUGCCCGGGCCUUGUACACACCGCCCGUCACAUCAUGGGAGCCGGGUGCACCCGAAGUCCCCGCGCCAGCGGGGCCGAAGGUGUGUCCGGUAACUGGGAUGAAGUCGUAAC